UCAGCUUGUCAAGAGUUGCAUGAUAAUGCUUCCACUGCUUCACUCUGCAAAUCCCAACUUGGGUUAUCCUUCCAGGGUAAAGUUUGGAGAACCUUUUUUAGGUUUAUCAAGAGUUGCAUAUUGAUACUUUCACUGCUGCAAGCCACAAAUACAAGUAGUUAAACUAUACUACCUUGAUAAAGUUUGGAGAACCUAAACAAAGUUUACAGAAGGAAUAUGGAUGGUCAGUUAUGGACUUACAAAAAUUCUACACUUUUUGAAAGAAUUGGAACUUCAGAGACUGGACAUUUUUUCCUGGAGAUAUUCAGAACUUUAAAACAUUCAUUAAAAGAUACUAUGCAAUGUUCUGAUUCUAUUGAUAUGUAAUUUGCCACAGUUUCAUCCUUAUAUUCGUGUGAAUAAUGUCAAACAAAUACAAGCUAAUUUGACUUAGACGGAAC